UGUGUCUUCUGGGUUCUACUGCCUGAGAUUCCCAGAGGCAUGAAUUUGGUUUCUGACCUUGGACCUAUGCACCUUUACUGUGGUGAAAGGCCACCGCCAUACUUUCGCUAGCAGAAACCUGCACAAAUGGGAGAGACCCAAGAGCCACGGGGUCUCCGGCGCCUCAGAACAGGAAGGACUGAGCAGGGCCCUGGGACGGACGGCUCCUUCUAGCAUCCAGAUGUCCGGUACCAGGUGAUUGGUCUACAUCAUCGUCCACAGGAUGGGAUGGUCUCAGAGCCAGCAGGAACACAGCUCGUGACUCCACGGACUGGGCAGCCCCUUCGGACACGUUCUUUCAUUUCUCAUCGUAUUGGCCGAUGGUCUGCGUGGAUGCGCUGUAGGCCCGUCGCGGGGGCUGAUGAAGCAGCUGGGACGCUUCAUCCUCCACGGGCUUCAAAGUGGCUGAGACUCCGGAUCCCACCUGCGCUGAUUCCCAGGGCUGGCCACGCCCCACAGUCUGCCUUUAUCCUCCUCCUCCUCCCCCUUUUCUCUUUUACUCUUCCUCCUUCCU